UACGUAGGGGGCAAGCGUUGUCCGGAUUUAUUGGGCGUAAAGCGCGCGUAGGUGGCUUCGUAAGUCCGUUGUGAAAGUCAAAGGCUCAACCUUUGAAAGCCGAUGGAUACUGCGGAGCUAGAGUACGGAAGAGGCGAGUGGAAUUCCUGGUGUAGCGGUGGAAUGCGCAGAUAUCAGGAGGAACACCAAUAGCGAAGGCAGCUCGCUGGGACGUUACUGACACUAAGGCGCGAAAGCGUGGGGAGCGAACGAGGA
rnacentral:rRNA from 1 species